CUCAUUCACUCACACGGGCGCGCUCAUUCGGGUUAGACCGGGUUAGGCUGUUAGAGCAUCCGUGCGCGAGAGGAGAAGUUGGCACGGCGAAGAGGUGCGCGAUCGACGGGUAACCCCCAGUGUGCGUGAAAGACGCGCGUGUGCAGUACAUUAUCUCGCGCGGGAGUGCAGUCGUGCGUAUGCGUGGCCACGGUGUGUACGAGACGAAGUCGACGUCGCUAAAGGUAAAGGUGUGCGCGAGCGUAGACAGGACGGCGACGUCGAGCGCGAGCGAGCGGAUCGGCAUUGGCAAGCGUGAUUAGCCAAAAACGCGCAGUCGCGCGUCGAUCCUCUCGGGUGGGAGGUGAUCAGCUGUGAUAACACGCGAGCACCGAGAUGUUCGUCCUGCAGAAGACUAUAUUAUCCACCAGCAGCAGAAACUGUGCAGGAUCAUGGGCUCGCAUCCUUCCAUCUACGCACCCUGCCGCGAAGGAUAUUCUGCAGAGAGACAUCCACGAGGUGUCGGGGGAUGUCGUACCGAUCAAUAUGGUGAAAGGAAUUGGUCAUUUGAGAGAUCCCCGACUUAAUAAGGGUUUGGCAUUUACUCUGGAAGAAAGGAUAUCUUUGGGUAUUCAUGGUCUGCAGCCACCAAGAUUUAAAACACAAGAAGAACAGCUGGCCCUGUGCAAGGCUUCGGUCAUGAAAUACACCGAGGACUUGAAUCGGUAUUUGUACCUCGUGGAACUCCAGGAAAGAAACGAGAGAUUAUUUUUCCGUCUGCUCAGCGAGAACAUCGAGCAAAUGAUGCCAAUUGUUUACACUCCUACCGUGGGAUUAGCCUGCCAGAAGUUUGGUGUCAUUUAUCGCAGACCUCGUGGAUUGUUUAUUACAAUAUACGAUAAGGGUCACAUUUACGAGAUCCUCAACAACUGGCCCGAGCAAGCGGUUCGCGCGAUUUGCGUGACGGACGGAGAGAGAAUUCUCGGUCUGGGUGAUCUGGGAGCGUGCGGAAUGGGAAUUCCAGUAGGAAAAUUAGCUCUUUAUACUGCUUUAGCUGGUAUUAAGCCGCACCAAUGCCUACCAAUCACCAUUGACGUAGGCACAAAUAACGAGCAGCUCAGAAACGAUCCGCAUUAUAUCGGUCUGAACAAACCGAGAAGUCAAGGCGCGGAAUACGACGAAUUAAUCGACGAGUUUAUGGCUGCCUGCGUGAAGAAAUACGGUCAGAACGUUCUCAUACAAUUUGAGGACUUCGGAAACCACAAUGCCUUCCGCUUCUUAGACAAAUACCGAGACAAGUAUUGUACGUUUAACGACGAUAUUCAAGGCACUGCCGCAGUUGCAGUCGCUGGAAUUUUAGCUUCGAAAAGGAUAACAAAGAAAUCGAUGAAGGACAAUAGGUUCGUCUUCUUAGGUGCUGGCGAGGCGGCUAUUGGAAUAGCUGAUCUCUGCGUGAAAGCAUUGGAAGCCGACGGAUGCACGGAAGAGGAGGCCAGAAAUAACAUUUGGAUGAUGGACAUCGACGGUCUGCUCACUAAAACACGGCCAGAAGGUAACCUGGAAGGUCACAAGGUCUGGUACGCGAAAGAUCACAAAGUGAUGAAAAACCUGAUCGACGUUGUGAAAGAAGUGAAACCGACCGUUCUGAUUGGUGCGUCAGCUGCGGCGGGCGCGUUCACUCCUGAAGUCUUGAAGGAGAUGGCCAAGAACAACGAGAGGCCAUUGAUCUUUGCGCUCAGUAAUCCGACCAGCAAAGCGGAAUGCACGGCUCAACAGGCUUACGACCACACGGACGGAAGAUGUAUUUUCUCGUCGGGUUCUCCGUUCGGCGAAGUGAACUAUAAGGGGAAAAUCUUCAAACCUGGACAAGGAAACAACGCCUACAUAUUUCCUGGAAUCGCGUUGGGCGUCAUAGCGACUGGAUGCCAUCACAUAACCGAAGAUUUAUUCCUCAUUUCCGCUCAGGCAGUCGCCGACCACGUGAAAGACGAAGACCUUGAGAUGGGUAGCCUUUACCCACCGUUAAGUACCAUUCGGGAAUGUUCGAUAGACAUUGCCAUCCGAAUUGCCAAUUACGCUUAUGCGAGAAUUGGACUGGCAAGUGAAUACCCGGAGCCGAAGGACAAACGGCAGUUUAUUGAAAGUAAAAUGUACGAUGCCAACUAUGACAGUCCACUGCCAAACAUUUACGACUGGCCAGGCGAUUACGCCAAACCUCGUGUUCUGCCAGAAGUAGAGACUGUAGAAAUCCGCCACGAUUUAAAACAUCUGUAGCGGGUUUCACCGAGUGGGAUAUUCAGAGGCUAUCAUUAUUACAUUUACGAUAUAAAAAAAAAAAUUAUAUCGCUGUGUCCUGAAUUAAAAGUCUAAGACAGGUCAUGGCUAAGAUACAGGCAAUGGUGCAGUUUUAAACAGUUUUAGCUAUUAUGACGUGUUGGCGAGUCUAAAAACAAGACGACUACUCUGACGUUUACACAUUCGUUUUAAGUUAAUUUUAUGGAAUGCGAAGCCGAAUGUCUUGUAAAAGUGGCCACAACGAUAACCUUGAUCGAGACCCGUUGCUCAUCGAUGUAUUCUGUACUUAUUUAUUAAUAAUUUAAUACCGUAAUUGUAUUUUGUGACAAAGGUAUACGAUGCCAGUGUGGACGCUAUUCACUGAUUCUGAGAUUCAACUCACGUGGUUCGUUUCACUUUGGAAAUAUUUAUUUUAUUUAUUUACAAUCUGUGUGUGUACUCUCUUACGUGCCAUUUUGUGUUGGACAAGUAUUAUUCCAGCACGUGAAACAAAGAAUGCUACGAAAUGGAAUUCUCUUUGAACUCGAAGAGAAAUUGAUGAAUAGUUUGGUUACUGACCACGGUAUCGUCCACGAGAAUUUCCCCGAAUGUCUCCUGUAACCGCACGCAUGAACGAUAUAUAGCCAAUGUCGCGUUUAUGCGCACCUCGUAUAAGUAUAUUACGGUGCAUAGAAGAGACAAGCUCAUAUAAGGGAUCUCCACCCGUGGACAGUACCAGAUCACAGUAAUUAUCUCAUUCGUGUAUGAUAGAUCAUUAAUCGUAUGAAAUUCUACGAUAAUGGAUCGUCGGCUACUUUUUAAUUUAACAUACAGUAUCGAGUAAUCGUGUCGAAAAAUGGCGGACAUUCAGAUUAAAUGUUCCUAUCGCGGAAGUAUUUUAUCCCAUUAGAUUAUAUACUAUGUAAGGCCACGCAAGUUAUCGCACCGUUUAUUCAAUUUAUCGAUAAACAUUACGAUCAGGUAAAACAGUACAACAAUUUGCAAAAGUCGUAUUUUUUGUACCAUAUUGUAACCGUAUCACACUUGCGUUAAGUAAAUAUAGAAAAAAAAUGAAAACUUGAGUCAGAAAGUUCUUAUACGUUGCGUGUGAAAUAGAAAACCUCAAUCGACAUCGAUUAAAUUAUUAUUACUGUCAUAACACAGACGUAAGUUGACAUCUAACUCACAAACUGUUCGUAUUCACACGAUGUCUGCAUGAAAACCAUGUCACGGGUGUACGGAGCGAGAAGAAAACGAAAAUUAUGUUACUCAAACGCAGCUGGCUCGCUCAUUAGAAUUUGUUACUUGGGCGUAUAAAUUAUACACUAAGGCUAUGAAUAAAUGUUAAGUCAUGAUCG